AUGUUCGCUCUAUAUGCCACAGCUCUCCUCUGCUUCCUGUCUUCGAGCCAAUCAGCUCCUGCUGCAGCUCUAGGCUGUGAGGACCUCCUUACGCCCAUAGAUCCACCACGACUAGACCAGCAGCUCUUGGGAAGAUGGGCCCUCGUCACAGACAGUUCACCAUGGAGUUUACAUCUGCUACCAACACCAGAACCGGAACCGGCAUGGCGGCUGGUGCAAGUAGUGUAUAUACCCGACAGCAUCUCCAUUGUCAACGGCAACAGCACCUUCCAGUUAGACAUGAGGGGCUUUUGGAACAUCACUGGGGUCUCCCUGGAGACCUCCUGCCCAGACUUCCUGGUGAUGAGCCAAUCAGCUCCUGCUGCAGCUCUAGCCUGUGAGGACCUCCUUAAGCCCAUGGAUCCACCACGACUAGACCAGCAGCUCUUGAGGAAAUGGGCCCUCGUCGCAGGCAGCCUGAGCCACCCUGCAUCCCUGGAGAGUCUCAAGACCAGAGACGGCAUCACCAUGGAGUUUUCACCCUCUACCCCCAACACCACCCAGAACUCCAACACCACCACAACCGUCCACUACACCCAGACUAACCGUUUCGGCAGCCGAUGCGAGUCACUAACCUACAAUAUCUCACUCCUCAACGACAACAGCACCUUCCAGUUCGACGUGGGGGGCCGAUUCAACCUCACUGGGGUCUUCCUGGAGACCUCCUGCCCAGACUGUCUGGUGGGAGGUGAGCUCCAGGAGGAGGGAGUCCACGGACCUGUACCUGCUGAGGAAGACGGAGGGUGGGAGAGAGGUGGAGGAAGAGGAGAUGGAAGAGUUCAGGAAACAGGUGGAGUGUAUGGGGCUGCCGCCGCCAGUGGUGAUGGAGCCGGGGGAUGCCCUCUGUGGUUCCCAUCAGCUCCCCUGGAAACACUGAGGAGGAGGAGGAGAAGACGAAGCUCGAUCAGAGUGAUCAGAGAGGUGGGGCCGUGAGACCGAUGUAGAGACACGUUUUCUGUCGUCUGUGUUGUAAUCCAACAUUUCCGUGUUUACUGUUGUCGAUGACCUGUAGAAUUUUGAGGGGGGGAAAAGAUGCACGAUUUGUCAUAUUAUUCUGUCUUCUUUGCUUCUUUAACAGAUGUAAUUACGUUCACAGACUGAUUUAAUGUCCCAGAGCUGAAGCUAAUUCACAGAGACAGUGGGAUCCAGCAGGAAUGUCGGGACGUCAUUAGGACUCUAUGCACAAUGGGAAAGAAAAGUAUUUUAUAAUUGGAUUACUUUUGUAUAAUUUGGCAUAAACUCAUUUGUCCAUGCAAUUAAAGUGCUCAUACUGUUAAUUCUCAGAUUA
rnacentral:lncRNA from 1 species